AGAGAUUUAGGUUAACACAGACCAAGAGCCUUCAAAGCCCUCAGUGGGAGUUAAAAUCUCUCAAUCCCUG
rnacentral:tRNA from 1 species